UACAGAGGGUGCGAGCGUUAAUCGGAAUUACUGGGCGUAAAGCGCGCGCAGGCGGCUUUGCAAGUCGGGUGUGAAAUCCCCAGGCUCAACCUGGGAACUGCAUUCGAGACUGCAUUGCUAGAGUAUGGGAGAGGGGAGUGGAAUUUCCGGUGUAGCGGUGAAAUGCGUAGAGAUCGGGAGGAAUACCGGUGGCGAAGGCGGCUCCCUGGACCAAUACUGACGCUCAGGUGCGACAGCGUGGGGAGCAAACAGG
rnacentral:rRNA from 1 species